GAUGAAGAACGCAGCGAAAUGCGAUAAGUAAUGCUAAUUGCAGAAUUCAGUGAGUCAUCGAAUCUUUGAACGCACAUUGCGCCCUGUGGUAUUCCGCAGGGCAUGCCUGUUCGAGCGUCAUUUCAACCCUCAAGCUCUGCUUGGUGUUGGGCCCUGCCCGCUGCGGCCGGCCCUAAAGACAGUGGCGGUGCCGCCUGGCCCUGAGCGUAGUACAUCUCUCGCUCCAGUGCCCGGUGGUAGCCUGCCAGAACCCCAACUCUCGUGGUUGACCUCGGAUCAGGUAGGGAUACCCGCUGAACUUAAGCAUAUCAAUAAGCGGAGGA
rnacentral:misc_RNA from 1 species